UACGGAGGUUGCAAGCGUUGUUCGGAAUGACUGGGCGUAAAGGGAGCGCAGGCGGUUCGUUAAGUCUGGAGUGAAAGCCCGGGGCUCAACCCCGGAGGGUCUUCGGAUACUGACGAACUCGAGUACGGAAGAGGAGAGUGGAAUUCCAGGUGUAGCGGUGAAAUGCGUAGAUAUCUGGAGGAACACCGGUGGCGAAAGCGGCUCUCUGGUCCGAUACUGACGCUCAGGCUCGAAAGCGUGGGGAGCAAACGGG
rnacentral:rRNA from 1 species